GGGUCAGUAGGUUGGUCGUGCCACCGGUACGUACUGGUCUCACGGACUCCUCCUUCCUGAAGAACCGUAAUGCCAUUAAUUUGGUGUUGCGGGGAAACAGGACUGUUACUUUGAAAAAAUUAGAGUGUUUAAAGCAAGCUAACGCUUGAAUACAUUAGCAUGGAAUAAUGAAAUAGGACGAUCGAUCCUAUUUUGUUGGUUUCUAGGAUUGACGUA
rnacentral:rRNA from 1 species